ensembl:lncRNA
GUUUAUAUUUGUUUAUUUAUUGGAUCUAUGUACUGGAUUUAUAUUAUCUAGAUGUUUUUAUUAAUAAUCCAUUGAGCUUUCUGACUGAAUUCCACUUUGUGCUUGGUGUGACAUUGAUUGAUUGUUGCAGAAAUAGACAUGAUUUUCUUUUGCGUUCGACUUCUGAAUUUCCAAGUGCCCCCUGAACGCCUCAGUGAACACUACAACUGAACUGCGCAUGCGCACCCUGCCGUCCUGCCGUCUUCUCUGACAACAGAACAUCGAUCCAUAUCUCCAUUUUGGUUGGCUGACUCUGAAGUACCAUCACUGCUGGUGACUUCACAGUGUCCUGCUGUGCAGCAUCUCUCCUCUAUCACGUUGGCUCUCUAUCUCUCCUAUACCUUGUAUCCACUCUGUCUACAAGUUGGCUCUCUAUCUAUCCUGUACCUUGUAUCCACUCUGUCUACAAGUUGGCUCUCUAUCUAUCCUGUCACAUCUACCGCUCUGUCUUUUGCAUAUGGCAACUCACACUUUGUGUCCCCCUCUAUCCCACUCUCACGUUGGUAAUCUUUGGCAAUGGAAUGGAACAAACUCUGGAAACCUUUCUCUGAACUGAACUGAAUUUUGGACUAAGCUCUGUUGGCUCGACUUGGGUUACUGGUACCUAAUCUAUCUGACUUGAAUACUCUGAGAGACUCUCUUCUCUCACCCUCACCUCUUACCUCUCCUAUCUACAACUUAUACACUUAUCUCUAGAACACUAUUGCUGUUUUUGCAACUCGGACAAAGCAUUUAUACUAUUUCCGAGACUUUUUCCCAACACAUUGGUUAAACAAAACUGAAAAGUUAAUUCAGAAACUGAAAGAAACCACACAUAACCUACAUAUUUUGUUGUAAUUGAUAAAAAGUACCUUUUAUCAUUUAGAAUUGAAUGGUACAUUUUCAAAUAUAUAUUUCGAGUAAAUCAUUACAUUAACAUAAUUCAAGAAAGUUGCUCCCUUGUUACUUUACAUAAAAACAAUUGUAGUAAAAGUCUAUAUCAUAUAAAAGGAAUAGUUAAUUUCCUGAUCGUUGUUGCUUUGGAGCUCCGCUGGUUUGUACCCAAAGCUUUGUUUUGGUAGCAGUACUCUAGAAAUCUGUAAUAACAAUUUCCUGUAUAAACGUACAUUAUUUCAAACAUUCAGUGUAUUUGUGUGUUUAGUUGUUUCACUUUGUUCAUACUGAAAUAAAACAAAGCCAUCUAUAAGGAGGAAGUGGAUUCAUUGGGAGUUGCUGCCUUCUGUCUGCAGGCCCGACAUUCAGAAGCUUUCAUCCAUCAUCACGUUGCCACGACAACGCUUCCUGAUUUAAUAUAAACCCAAGUAUUAUAAGUUGUUCUCUUGGUGUUCUUGAUCAGUAAAAGCAGACAAAGGUUUAAUCUAUUUUCACAUUCUGCUUUGUUAAGUUACUUUUACCAUUAAUAUUGUGUUUAGUACCUUGGUUGUGUACAAUACAAGUAAAACAAUAACAUUUGUGGUUUUGAAACACAACAAUGCCCAGAAAGAGUAAGAGGUCACAAGCUCAGAGCCAGCGCUGGCAGCGGACCAAAGAGAAUCCCUGUGCAACAACGACUGAAGGAGCAGAAUGUGUUGGUCCUGAGAGCAGUGAAGAGGUAAAGAUGUCUGCAGAGUCUCAUGCUGGAAGUGUGAAACAGGGAGUUCCAAGUGAGUCACAGGUAUCGUAUGCAGACGCAGUAAAGAGUGGACGUCACAGUGAGGAUCCAUGUACAGCAGGACCUUCUAAUGUCAGGCAGGUAAACCUUAGAGGUCAAGGUGAUGAGUCAUGUGUACCACAGGUAUCAGAUACUGUAAAGAGAGGACAACCCAGUAAAGAACCAUGUGCAGCAGGACCUUCUAAUGCAGACUGUGUAGACCCUGGAGAUCAGCCUUCUGAACAACAUGUCCGUGCAUCCCACAGCCAGGCUUCUAUCAGAUACGGCAGAUCCAGAAAUCGGCAGUGCACCUGUAACUCACUGACCUUUCUUGCAUUCCUCCAUGAGAAUGAAAGCAUCACCAGAGCAGACCUGGACCAUGUUUUGGAUAAAGGUAACACGAUGUAUAGAGAAACCAGGAAACAAGUCACUAAUCACAUCUAUCUGACCACCGACGAGCUCACUGAUGAAGUUCCUGCACGCAGCGCUACACACCAUGCAGACAUGACUCAGCUUUCAAGGUACGGCACAUUAGGAGAACCUUUACCUGGAGCUGUGGACAGCUUUCUGGACCUGGAGUCAGGACUCAGCUGCUUGUUGUCAGAUGUGAAGUACGCUCUGCUGUUGAUGAGACUCUUGUGUAUCGCAGUGUUCAGAACCAAGUCGGGCAGAUACGGUUUCUUUGACCCACACUCCAGAACAGCCAGAGGUUUGCCCCUACCAGCCGGUUCACGCACACCAGGUACUGCUGUCAUGGUGACAUUCUCACGUCUCAGUGACAUGAUUGACAGGCUCAAGAAGUCCCACAGAAUGAUGGACACACAGUCCUCUUGUAACUAUGAGUUGAAACCUGUGGAGUUUUACAAUGUGAACACAGUCAACCUGAACGAUGGUCUCCCAAACACAGACUGCAGACCUACAGCUGUCCCUGUGGAUGAAUCAAACUCACCUACAGCCACUGAUGAGACCAGUUCAC